rnacentral:rRNA from 1 species
UACGAAGGGGGCUAGCGUUGUUCGGAAUUACUGGGCGUAAAGGGCGCGUAGGCGGUACUUCAAGUCAGGCGUGAAAGCCCCGGGCUCAACCUGGGAACCGCGCUUGAGACUGGAGAACUAGAGUUCGGGAGAGGAUGGUGGAAUUCCCAGUGUAGAGGUGAAAUUCGUAGAUAUUGGGAAGAACACCGAUGGCGAAGGCAGCCAUUUGGACCGACACUGACGCUGAGGCGCGAAAGCGUGGGGAGCAAACAGG